UUUAGGAGUCAAUGAUGUCUGAAUAUUCAAAAUAUCUGAACCUGUCUGAAGCAUCCUAGUGAUGUAACCUCUGUGUGGUACUGAGGUUUCUCUGCCA